ACCAAAAUGAACCAUCAUCACUCCGUGCUUACAAAGGGCUGGGCACAAAGUAGGAUGGGUACUGAGUGUAGAAAAGCUGGAGAAAUCACAGAAUGAGACUGAAAUGAGAUAUUACUGGGCAGUAACAGAUGAUAACUGAGGAAUCCAGAGAAGCAUGGGAAGAUUCACAUGAACAGAUGCAGUGGAAAAGAAAACACAGCUGAGCCUGGUGCCUAGUCACUGACAACCCAGGUCGAAACGAAAAGAUCACGCAAAAUGAGCUACAACUCCAAGUAACGGCCGAGCCAGUGAUGGUCUGAAAGAGGAGAAAACAAUACCCCAACCCUCCCACAUGACACACUGGGCCAGCUGGAAGGACAAAAUGCCAUAGUCACAGUCAGUCAGACAAGGCAUCAUGCUAUCAUAGAUUGCUGUUUUUUAUCAUGACAAGGGAAGGGAAGGAAAGAAUGUGGUCAAAGGGCAAAAAGAGGUGUUUCAAAUCAAAAUUCCUUCUAUUUCUGUCCUGGUCACCCUGGCUUGCAACCUAAGAAUCCUCCUCCUCGCUCCAUAUCCAACCAAUGGCCAAGUACUGGCAAUUCUACUUCUUCCCCUUCUCUCCCCUCCCACCACAACCACCCUAGACCAGGCCCUCAUCGCCCCUCAGCUGCUGCUUCCUAACUGGUCCCCCUGUAGCCAGCCUCUCCCUUCUCUGGUCAGGCCUCCCCACAGCUGGACCAUCCGAAAGAAAAGGUGUGAUCAUGUUAUCCUCUGCUCAAGAAACUUCAGGGGCUCCUCGCUGUCUUCAGGAUGAAACUCAAGUUCCUCUCUUGGGCACCAGAAGCCCUUCACAAUCUGGCUCUGCUCUACCUUUCCAGACACUGUACAAAGGCAGAGGUAACAGAGGAAGACAAGAGAACGGAAUGGUCCAGGAACAAGAGCGUCAGAAGGAAGUAUAAAGUUUAAAGCAAAUUAAGGCUUGAGGCCAUGUGGGAGAGCGGGACGUGCGCUGGCGGGCUUGGAAUCGAGACUUCUGGGUUCACAACCCAGCUCCACUCGUCAGCCAGACAACCACGUUCGUGUUGCUUCCCGCCUGAGACUAUUUCUUCUGCAAAAUGAAACCAAUCUUUUCACCCCUUUCCUUGGGAACCACUGACCACAAGCUGCUGCUGGCAGUACCAGGUUCUAGUACCUUUCUUGCUUCAUUCACCACACUGGCGAGCACUUCCCAGAGAU